ACAGCAGCAGCCACGGGAAUACGUAGGUGGCAAGCGUUGUCCGGAAUUAUUGGGCGUAAAGCGCGCGCAGGCGGAUAGGUCAGUCUGUCUUAAAAGUUCGGGGCUUAACCCCGUGAUGGGAUGGAAACUGCCAAUCUAGAGUAUCGGAGAGGAAAGUGGAAUUCCUAGUGUAGCGGUGAAAUGCGUAGAUAUUAGGAAGAACACCAGUGGCGAAGGCGACUUUCUGGACGAAAACUGACGCUGAGGCGCGAAAGCCAGGGGAGCGAACGGGAUUAGAUACCCGUGUAGUCCCUGUCUCUUAUACA
rnacentral:rRNA from 1 species